rnacentral:lncRNA from 1 species
AUAUGGUCUUGCGUUUAUAUUAAUUGCUUAUUAACUUAAUAUAUAUAGUGGAAUAAAAAAUAAUAAAUACCGUAAUUAUCACUUUGAAGCACUGAGGAAAUAUUGAACAUUUACAACAUUAAAUAGGAGUGCUUCAAAUAAUAUAAAUUUCAUAUGUAUGCAGUAAAAGAAUCUGCAUAAGAUUUUACAUGGAUGAAGCUUUUUGAUGAGCGAUUUCAUGACUUUAACUUUGGAGCUGCAAAGUUGGAUUCCAAAGCAUGAACAUAGAUAUUACCAGCGGCUUCUUCUUGAGCACAAGUGGCAAUUGCAAGCAUGCUUCCGUCAACAUUAAAAGAAAUAGAUGAUAUAUUGAUCUUUGAAGGAUUUAACACUCUUAAUCGUUUUCGGACUUGUAUAUCCCAAAACGCAACAACGCCAUCUCCCCCAGCAGUUGCCAAUGUUUGAUGAAUCGGAUGAAAUUUUAGGUCGUUAACUGGAUAAACAAUAUCGUAGUCCUUUUGUAUCUGCCGAUGGCAUUUAAAGGUAAAAUUUUUGCUUUGCGCUUCCUGAGACGGGUUAAUAUAUUCAACAGAUGUCCUUCCCUCAAUGCUGGAAGAAACGAAUCCCUCAAAAUUUUGGUUACAGCAAACACUUCGAGUCAUAUACUUAAAACUAGAAGGACGUCGCUGAAAUGGAAGUUUUAAAUUUCGAAUAUCGUACACCAAAUUUUCUCUUUCUGAACAGCCUAGAACCAAUAUAUUAUCUCUCGAGCUACUUGCAAAAAUUUUUUUUCCUAUAUCCUGUCCCUCGACAGGUUGCUUUACGCGAACAUCCCAAACACGAAAUGAUUUGUCCCAAGACCCACUAAUGAAACAGUCUAAAAUGUUAAUAGAAUAGCUGGCUAAUAAAAUAUAUAUCUUACUUUCCAAACGCAACUUAGAAAUGCACGAUACCCCCUUACCGUGGUUUCCUAAAAACUCAUGGUUUCGCGUAUUAAGAUCGAGGGUAGUAACUGUCCCAUCUAAAUUUCCUACUAAAGCAGUUUUUUCAUCUGUAUAUUCUAAAGAAAGAAUAGGACUUGAUAAAUCGUAUUUCCCUAAAAGUUCGGGAUUUUCCGAGAUUUGAUAAUGCAGUAAGCUACCAUCCCAGCACCCUGCAAUUAGUUCGUUUUUGACAGAGGGUGAAAAUAUUACACUUGAAAUCCCGUCUUUUGAAUUUUUUAGUAAUGUUUUUGAGAAAUUCAUGGCAGACUGACAGAUGACAUGAAAAAGGAGUUUGGCGAGGUAUAGGCCUUUAAAUGUUGCUUCAAAAGGACAACGUCGAAGUUCGAUGGUAAUUGACCGAAUUUUACGAAGAUGAAUUUCCAACGAUGCCGAUUAUAUUAGGUGUUAAACAUAAAUACUUACGUUUUCAUACGCGCAAAUUACUGUUUCAGCUUCUUUUCAACAAAUUUUGACAGUCUGUGCCUCACAAGUAUCUAAGAUAAGCGAAGCGAAUUGCUAAUAGCUGUGUAAAAUAAAUUGCAAAGGAGCUGAUUCUGACAGUUUAAAUAUGAUGUAACAACCGUUAUAUAAGACAUAACUAUGAAUACGUUUCAACACAACUACGUUCUACUAAAUACCACUCUAAAGCGAUGAAAAAAAAUCAUAAAAGAAAGAAAUGCACAUAACUCUACAUACUCAUACAAAAAACUGAAAGGCAAUAGUAGAUGUCAGUCAACUUUGACAAGUGAAUGUACUACUGUAAAAAUAAUUUGAGCGUCGACGAGAAAAUUUGCCUAGUUGAUAAAGCAGAAAGAAGAUUUAAAUAGAAAAUAAAGCUUAGAGUUUAGGUGACAUGUGCAAAAUCCCUUAAUAGCCGACACAAAACUCACCAGGUUUGGCAACAAUAUGGGUUUCAACUGCUUGACGCUCAACUGUGCGACGUAAAACGUUCUUCAAAAUCUCGACAGCAUCAGGAGUGAUCUGAAUAUGAAACACGAUACGAGGUCCCAUUAAAAUGAUUCCAGACUUUUUGGCUUCAUCGCAAAGAAUAGCAACGUUGAUAUUGGCCAAUGUCACCAUGUUACUUUGAGUGGGAACUUCAAGCUCAAUUCCAAGAGAUUCUGCGUAUUCGGCGACUUCAAUAGCAUAUUUAUGGACCUGCUUCAACAAAGGAAAGUUAUGCUGAAUUGAGUAUAAUCCUGCAGCAGCAAGCAUACCAGAUUGUCUCAAUCCACCACCAUAAGCCUUACGGAACCAUUUGGCUUUAGCAAUAAAGUCUCGUGGUCCCACAAUAAUGCUACCAACAGGAGCCGCAAGACCUUUGCUUAGGCAAAGACUAACGGAAUCAAAGUAAGAGCAGUACUCCUUAAUUGAAACGUUGGAAGCAACAGCAGCAUCCCAUAAGCGAGCACCGUCGCAAUGCAGGGGGAUCUUGUGAGCCUUAGCUAAACCAGAUAUACGAGCCACUUCAUCCAAUGGAACGACAGCACCUUUAAUAGUAUUUUCUAAACAAAUCAACCCAGUGGGUGAAAAGUGAAUAUCAUUUCCCAGGAUAAGCUUGUUCUCAAUUUCCUCGGCAGUAAUAUAUACAUUAUUUUUUGGAGAAAUAGGACGAACAAUAGCUUGCGUAAACAAACCAAUUGCACCCGCUUCCCAGUUAUAAAUAUGGGCGCGAUCAUCACAAAUGAUACUAUGAGGAGGUUGAUGCAAAUGACUACGAAUACACAACUGAUUACCUUGAGUACCAGAUGUUACGAACAAAGCAGCUUCCUUACCAGUCAACUUUGCAACAUAAACUUCCAACUUUCUAGUAUCCUCAUCUUCCUCAUAAACGCAAUCACCAUCAGAGGCCUCAUACAUGAUGCGACGCAUUUCAUCGGUAGGAACAGUCAAAGUGUCACUACGGAAAUCAUUCCAAGGACGAUACUUUUUAGCGCUCCCUUGGUUGGAAGGGCAUAAUCUUGUUUCGGUAGUCGUAGAAGUAACGGAUCCGCUCAUAUUUUUUUUUUAUCAAAAAGGAAUUGACGAAACUAAAUUUAAACACCUGCAAGCUAAGUUUGACCGCAAGACACAAAAAUUGUUUUCAAUGUAAAAUAAACAACAAAAAUAUAUUUAUUUUACAGAUCUAAUAAAUCGUUGAAGAUCAGCAGUUCAACGAGAAAAAAAACAAAAAAUUUUUUAGACUGUUGAAGCCCAAAACCAAAAGAAUCUUUAACGAAAUUUAACAGUUAAAUUUUUUCCUUAUCCAGAAAUUAUCUUUUGAUAAAGUAAAGAUGCAGUUGAAGGCACUUUCUCUUUAAAAUCUGGGCGUUUU